rnacentral:misc_RNA from 1 species
GAUGAAGAACGCAGCGAAAUGCGAUACGUAAUGUGAAUUGCAGAUCUCUCAGUGAACCAUCGAAUUUUUGAACGCACAUAGCGCCCGCCGGUCAUUCCGGCGGGCAUGCCUGUCCGAGCGUCGAUGACGCCGCUCGAGCCCCCGUGCUCGGUGUUGGGGCGCUAGGUCUCCCAGAGGCCUAGGCCCCCAAGUAGCAGUGCGCGGUCCGGCUGCGGGCCCCGGGUACAGUAACUUCACUGUUGAGAUGCCCUGGGAGCCGCUGGCUGGGUCAGCCGUACAACCCCCGACAUAGGCCUUCCUGUCCGCCCCCGGCGGGGAGGGAGACCGCCUAAUGUUGACCUCGGAUCAGGUAGGACUACCCGCUGAACUUAAGCAUAUCAAUAGCGGAGGA